CCCGUUGCCAUGGCGGCGGCCCCGCUCCCCGCGGCCUAACCCCGUCCUCACAGCCUCGCUCCCCGCUCCCGGACGGGAAAAGCGGCCCGAAAAUCGGAGCCAAAUUUUUUUUUUCUUUUUUUUUUUUUUUUUUUCCUUUCGCUUUUCACCGAUGCCGAGGCGGGUACUAUGUGUGCCUCGGCGGGGUGCGGGAGUUGGUGGGAGCGGGCGGUCACCGAGGUCCUGUGGGCUGCUUGUGCUGUCGUGACAGACAGACAGACAGACAGACAGACACUACCACCUUAGGAGCGCACGGAGGAGGCGCCCGUGGCAGGGAGCAGCGUCCCCCGCCUUCUGAGGAGAGCAGACUGCCCGACCCCCCGUUUCCCUCGCCCCUUCCCCUCUCCAGCAGCCCACCCUUGACGUCCCAGAAGAGGUUUUACUCUCCCCAAGAGGUUUUUCCCAGGUCUGCUUGGGAAUCAGUUUGCAUUUGGCAGUUGGACUCCGAAUAAAGGAAAAAAUCAGUAUGACCUCCAGCUGUGUUUCUGACAGCCCUUUAACAUUUGUGUUGCCCAAAAUUCCACAGACUUCCACAAGACUGGAGAAGAUACUGAGAAUGAAAAGAAGACCUGUCAUUACCUAGUAGGAUGAAGAGGCUGUGCAAACAAACAUGGACUAAUCCAGUGCCAUGCAGCUCUAAUGGAAAGACACCCUGGUCACUCUGGAGUAGUAACAGUUUUACUUGGGGCCUGUCUCUCAUUGGAUGCAUGCCAGACUGUCCUUCAGUAUAUCGUCCGGCGAGUAGGAGAAGGAAUGUGUUUGAACUUGGCACAAUUGCAGUGAACAUAAAGGAAGAAACAGAAGCUGCUUCAUCAGUGCCAUUUCCAUACCAUGGUUGGUCUCAGGAAAAAGACUGCAUUGAUGAAUUAGUGCAACUACCCUCCCAGCCGUGGAAGAAUAUAUUUUACAAGAAAAUCCAUAAGUGACUAAUAGGCCAGAUUGGUCAUCCCUCACCCACAGUGGUAAGCAGUCUUCUGAGAUCCAGGAGAAAUGUUUUGGUAUACCUGGAAAUCAGCCUAGAUCUAAAUUAGAUUAAAUUAAGCAUCUAAAUACAGAAUUUGGUAUUUAACAACAAAAACAAAAAAGAAAAAUUAAUUUCCACUGUGGAUAUUUCAGUCUUGAAUCAUGCUCUUCUACCACAUUUCAGCAAUGUAUCUUAAUACCUUUGGCUUUCAGGUUUGCUUGCUUUUUAAGUUUUUCAGUUAUAACUAAUGUAAUUUAGAAUCAAUUAAGCAGCCUUCCAUUGUUUUGAGUGGGUCCAGUGGAUAAUGAUUGCAGCCUGCUAGUAAUUAAAUGUUGCUCUUUCUUAGCUUGAAAAUGAAACACCUCUAUGGAAUUUAAAUUUCUUGAUUUAUUUAUGUUGUCAGUCUAAAUAGUAUGGAUAGGUGUACCAGGUCAGUGCAGACACAGUGCAAUCUUAAAAACAACUUUUAAAAAGCAAAAAGAAGAGAGAGGGGGGGAGGAAGAAGAGAGCAAGAAAGUGAGGUAAAGACAAAUUCACCCAGUUGUUAAAACUUUGAAUUGUAUGGAAAAUUUUCCACACUUAGCUGAAUCCUGCAUGUAAUUUCUUAAUUUUGCCUUUGUACAACCCAGAUAAAGGGUUCAUGUCUGUACUCACUUUCACUCACAGAUGGGUGUCUAAAAUUUGAGUGAUAAGUUGUGUAAAACAGGAUGUAUUGCCUAUUUGUCGAAGCCUAUAGGUCUACCUACUUCAAUAAAGCAGAAGCUAGGUCUCUUACCUUUUGUGGACUAAAAAACCCACUGAAUGCUUGCUUGUCAUACUGGCUUUACUACUAUGCAGAGCUUUACUACUUGAAUUCACUGACUAAUGAUUUAAGCGGAAUUAAGCCUUUAUUAAUUUUCUUGUUUCAAAAUCUGGUACCAGUAAUCACGGUAUUUCACCAUUCAAAGACAGUUCUUUGCUUCUUCAAAGACUUUAUUAAACUGAUAUGUACCAUCCCCCUCCCAGGACUGUAGUGAGGUACCCUCGCAUGAUACAAAUGAUGAGCUUCUGUCUGAAGUAAUAGGGGUGAUACCUAAUCCUGAACCGACAUCUGAAGGAUUUUAAAUAAAGGUUAUCAAUGACAGGUCUGUAAUCUAGCCUCAGUUAGUUAGGGGCUGUCCUGUGUUAGAAGGAAGAUGAAGGCAUUUGACUCUUUCAACAGAUCGAGAACCUGAGCUUUUUUCCUUGAGCUUCUGUUACA